CUAGAAUUUUGUUUUUCAUUUUUUUCAAAAUUGGAAAAAUUUGAUCGAACUUAUUAAAAGUUGAAUUAAGCUCUGGUUAUACACACACGUAAAGUGGACGUGAAGGGAAUAAGCCGAGCACUUAACGAGUUGUUGAAAAUUAUUUCUCCUUGCUUUUCAAAGGAAGUGUGCAGAAGAUUCCUGUUAUCGUCUCCAACGAUUCGACUGAGAUUAUCGGGUGAACUUUUACACGUCUUAUCGUCAACACCUUCGUAUCCAUCUAGAUAAG